CUGGGGUCCACCCCGCCAUACAUCCAGUCCAUGAGGUUGUGGAGGCUGUAGCGAGACAUGGCGGGACGGUUCCUUUUCUCCAGGAGCAGCGUUACAGACUGGACUCUUCAUUACAAAUGAGAUUACAGAUCUGAGUACCGAGUCAAAUCCUUCAUUCACAGGAAGCACUUUUUAAGCCUUCCUCCACGAAAAUAUUGUCUCCUAAUGGGCCAUUCAGUCCCACUGUAUGAUUGAUAAAGUUCCAUCAUCCCAUGGGGAGAUGCUCCAGCCAGGGGGAAGAGCCAAACCUUUCCUACCUAGAUAAAAUCUG